rnacentral:rRNA from 1 species
CCAGGCAACGAUACGUAGCCGACCUGAGAGGGUGAUCGGCCACACUGGAACUGAGACACGGUCCAGACUCCUACGGGAGGCAGCAGUAGGGAAUCUUCCGCAAUGGACGAAAGUCUGACGGAGCAACGCCGCGUGAGUGAUGAAGGUUUUCGGAUCGUAAAACUCUGUUAUUAGGGAAGAACAAAUGUGUGAGUAACUGUGCACAUCUUGACGGUACCUAAUCAGAAAGCCACGGCUAACUACGUGCCAGCAGCCGCGGUAAUACAAAA